rnacentral:rRNA from 1 species
UACUCAAAAAGACCGUUCCAGUUCGGAUUGCAGGCUGCAACCCGCCUGCAUGAAGUUGGAAUCGCUAGUAAUCGCGGAUCAGCAUGCCGCGGUGAAUACGUUCCCGGGCCUUGUACACACCGCCCGUCACACCAUGAGAGUCGGGAACACCCGAAGUCCGUAGCCUAACCGCAAGGGGGGCGCGGCCGAAGGUGGGUUCGAUAAUUGGGGUGAAGUCGUAACAAGGUAGC